AUUGAACGCUGGCGGCAUGCCUUACACAUGCAAGUCGAACGGUAACGGGCCUUCGGGUGCCGACGAGUGGCGAACGGGUGAGUAAUACAUCGGAACGUGCCCGAUCGUGGGGGAUAACGAGGCGAAAGCUUUGCUAAUACCGCAUACGAUCUACGGAUGAAAGCAGGGGACCGCAAGGCCUUGCGCGGACGGAGCGGCCGAUGGCAGAUUAGGUAGUUGGUGGGAUAAAAGCUUACCAAGCCGACGAUCUGUAGCUGGUCUGAGAGGAUGAUCAGCCACAGGGGGACUGGAAACCGGCCCAGACCCCAAGGGGGGGCCGCAGGGGGGAAUUUUGGACAAGGGGGGAAAGCCUGACCCACCCCUGCCGGGGGAAGGAGGAAGGCUUUCGGGUUGUAAACUUUUUUUGUGGGGAACAAAAAGCCUUUUUUUAAAACAGGGGGGUCAGGAGGGUACCUAAAAAAAAAGCACCGGCAAACUAGGG
rnacentral:rRNA from 1 species